rnacentral:rRNA from 1 species
UACGAAGGGGGCUAGCGUUGCUCGGAAUUACUGGGCGUAAAGCGCACGUAGGCGGAUUGUUAAGUCGGGGGUGAAAUCCUGGAGCUCAACUCCAGAACUGCCUUCGAUACUGGCGAUCUAGAGUCCGGGAGAGGUGAGUGGAACUGCGAGUGUAGAGGUGAAAUUCGUAGAUAUCGAGAGGAACACCGGUGGCGAAGGCGGCUAUCUGGACAGUGACUGACGCUGAGACGCGAAAGCGUGGGGAGCAAACAGG